GUUAGGAUGGCUGAGUGGUCUAAGGCGCCAGACUCAAGUUCUGGUCUUUGUGAGAGGGCGUGGGUUUAAAUCCAAUUUUUGAUA
rnacentral:tRNA from 1 species